rnacentral:rRNA from 1 species
GACGAACGCUGGCGGCGUGCUUAACACAUGCAAGUCGAACGGAAAGGCCCUGCUUUUGUGGGGUGCUCGAGUGGCGAACGGGUGAGUAACACGUGAGUAACCUGCCCUUGACUUUGGGAUAACUUCAGGAAACUGGGGCUAAUACCGGAUAGGAGCUCCUGCUGCAUGGUGGGGGUUGGAAAGUUUCGGCGGUUGGGGAUGGACUCGCGGCUUAUCAGCUUGUUGGUGGGGUAGUGGCUUACCAAGGCUUUGACGGGUAGCCGGCCUGAGAGGGUGACCGGCAACAUGGGGACGGAGAUACGGCCCAGACUCCUACGGGAGGCAGCAGUGGGGAAAAUGGAACAAGGGCGGAAGCCUGAUGCAGCAACGCCGCGUGCGGGAUGACGGCCUUCGGGUUGUAAACCGCUUUCGCCUGUGACGAAGCGUGAGUGACGGUAAUGGGUAAAGAAGCACCGGCUAACUACGUG